rnacentral:rRNA from 1 species
GACGAACGCUGGCGGCGUGCUUAACACAUGCCAGUCGAACGGAAAGGCCCCUUUGGGGGUACUCGAGUGGCGAACGGGUGAGUAACACGUGAGUAACCUGCCCUUGACUUCGGGAUAACUUCAGGAAACUGGGGCUAAUACCGGAUAGGAAUCCUUGCUGCAUGGUGGGGGUUGGAAAGCUUCGGCGGUUUUGGAUGGACUCGCGGCUUAUCAGCUUGUUGGUGGGGUAGUGGCUUACCAAGGCUUUGACGGGUAGCCGGCCUGAGAGGGCGACCGGCCACAUUGGGACUGAGGUACGGCCCAGACUCCUACGGGAGGCAGCAGUGGGGAAUAUUGCACAAUGGGCGGAAGCCUGAUGCAGCAACGCCGCGUGCGGGAUGACGGCCUUCGGGUUGUAAACCGCUUUCAGCAGGGGCGAAGCUUGUGGUGACGGUACCUGCAGAAGAAGCACCGGCUAACUACGUG